rnacentral:rRNA from 2 species
UUAAAUUGAAGAGUUUGAUCAUGGCUCAGAUUGAACGCUGGCGGCAGGCCUAACACAUGCAAGUCGAACGGUAGCACAGAGAGCUUGCUCUCGGGUGACGAGUGGCGGACGGGUGAGUAAUGUCUGGGAAACUGCCUGAUGGAGGGGGAUAACUACUGGAAACGGUAGCUAAUACCGCAUAAUGUCGCAAGACCAAAGAGGGGGACCUUCGGGCCUCUUGCCAUCAGAUGUGCCCAGAUGGGAUUAGCUAGUAGGUGGGGUAACGGCUCACCUAGGCGACGAUCCCUAGCUGGUCUGAGAGGAUGACCAGCCACACUGGAACUGAGACACGGUCCAGACUCCUACGGGAGGCAGCAGUGGGGAAUAUUGCACAAUGGGCGCAAGCCUGAUGCAGCCAUGCCGCGUGUAUGAAGAAGGCCUUCGGGUUGUAAAGUACUUUCAGCGGGGAGGAAGGUGUUGUGGUUAAUAACCGCAGCAAUUGACGUUACCCGCAGAAGAAGCACCGGCUAACUCCGUGCCAGCAGCCGCGGUAAUACGGAGGGUGCAAGCGUUAAUCGGAAUUACUGGGCGUAAAGCGCACGCAGGCGGUCUGUCAAGUCGGAUGUGAAAUCCCCGGGCUCAACCUGGGAACUGCAUUCGAAACUGGCAGGCUAGAGUCUUGUAGAGGGGGGUAGAAUUCCAGGUGUAGCGGUGAAAUGCGUAGAGAUCUGGAGGAAUACCGGUGGCGAAGGCGGCCCCCUGGACAAAGACUGACGCUCAGGUGCGAAAGCGUGGGGAGCAAACAGGAUUAGAUACCCUGGUAGUCCACGCCGUAAACGAUGUCGAUUUGGAGGUUGUGCCCUUGAGGCGUGGCUUCCGGAGCUAACGCGUUAAAUCGACCGCCUGGGGAGUACGGCCGCAAGGUUAAAACUCAAAUGAAUUGACGGGGGCCCGCACAAGCGGUGGAGCAUGUGGUUUAAUUCGAUGCAACGCGAAGAACCUUACCUGGUCUUGACAUCCACAGAACUUUCCAGAGAUGGAUUGGUGCCUUCGGGAACUGUGAGACAGGUGCUGCAUGGCUGUCGUCAGCUCGUGUUGUGAAAUGUUGGGUUAAGUCCCGCAACGAGCGCAACCCUUAUCCUUUGUUGCCAGCGGUUAGGCCGGGAACUCAAAGGAGACUGCCAGUGAUAAACUGGAGGAAGGUGGGGAUGACGUCAAGUCAUCAUGGCCCUUACGACCAGGGCUACACACGUGCUACAAUGGCGCAUACAAAGAGAAGCGACCUCGCGAGAGCAAGCGGACCUCAUAAAGUGCGUCGUAGUCCGGAUUGGAGUCUGCAACUCGACUCCAUGAAGUCGGAAUCGCUAGUAAUCGUAGAUCAGAAUGCUACGGUGAAUACGUUCCCGGGCCUUGUACACACCGCCCGUCACACCAUGGGAGUGGGUUGCAAAAGAAGUAGGUAGCUUAACCUUCGGGAGGGCGCUUACCACUUUGUGAUUCAUGACUGGGGUGAAGUCGUAACAAGGUAACCGUAGGGGAACCUGCGGUUGGAUCACCUCCUUACCUUAAAGAA